CCUACGGGAGGCAGCAGUGGGGAAUAUUGCACAAUGGGGGGAACCCUGAUGCAGCAACGCCGCGUGGGUGAAGAAGUACUUCGGUAUGUAAAGCCCUGUCAGCAGGGAAGAAAAUGACGGUACCUGACCAAGAAGCCCCGGCUAACUACGUGCCAGCAGCCGCGGUAAUACGUAGGGGGCAAGCGUUAUCCGGAUUUACUGGGUGUAAAGGGAGCGUAGACGGCAAGGUAAGUCUGGAGUGAAAGCCCGGGGCCCAACCACGGGACUGCUUUGGAAACUGUGUUGCUGGAGUGCAGGAGGGGGAGGCGGAAUUCCUGGUGUAGCGGUGAAAUGCGUAGAGAUUAGGAGGAACACCGGUGGCGAAGGCGGCUUACUGGACUGAAACUGACGUUGAGGCUCGAAGGCGUGGGGAGCAAACAGGAUUAGAUACCCCUGUAGUC
rnacentral:rRNA from 1 species